UACGAAGGGGGCUAGCGUUGCUCGGAAUCACUGGGCGUAAAGCGCACGUAGGCGGCUUUUUAAGUCAGGGGUGAAAUCCUGGAGCUCAACUCCAGAACUGCCUUUGAUACUGAGAAGCUUGAGUCCGGGAGAGGUGAGUGGAACUGCGAGUGUAGAGGUGAAAUUCGUAGAUAUACGCAGGAACACCAGUGGCGAAGGCGGCUUACUGGUCCAUUACUGACGCUGAGGUGCGAAAGCGUGGGGAGCAAACAGG
rnacentral:rRNA from 1 species